rnacentral:rRNA from 1 species
AAUGGGCGAAAGCCUGACGCAGCGACGCCGCGUGAGUGAUGAAGGCCUUCGGGUUGUAAAGCUCUGUGGGGAGAGACGAAUAAGUGCAGCCUAAUACGCUGCAUGAUGACGGUAUCUCCUUAGCAAGCACCGGCUAACUCUGUGCCAGCAGCCGCGGUAAGACAGAGGGUGCAAACGUUGUUCGGAAUUACUGGGCGUAAAGCGAGUGUAGGCGGUUUCCUAAGUCAGGUGUGAAAGCCCCGGGCUCAACCCGGGAAGUGCACUUGAAACUGGGAGGCUAGAGUAUCGGAGAGGUUGGUGGAAUUCUCGGUGUAGAGGUGAAAUUCGUAGAUAUCGAGAGGAACACCGGUGGCGAAGGCGGCCAACUGGACGAAUACUGACGCUGAGACUCGAAAGCGUGGGGAGCAAA